GUCUCCGGCGGCUCUCCGGGGCGCGGGGGCGCAGCCAUGAGCGAGUCCAGUGCCAGUGCGCUCCCGCCCGGCAGGCGCAGCAGGCAGACCUUCAUCCACCCAGGGUUUCUUGGAGGAGACCUGCCUCUUUUAUGGACAUUACACCAUUGAUGGAGUGAAAUUUCACAACUUCACCUAUGAUCUGCCCCUGGCUUAUUUAUUAAGCACAAUUGCCUACCUGGCCCUGAGCCUUCUUUGGAUAGUAAAAAGGUAAAGUUUAUCAGGCCAUUGUGUUCUUUUGGAAUUACUGUUGAUGGUUGAGUUUAUUCGCGGUCUGGGAGCCAUUGCCCAAGGGAUGAGCAGAGUUCAGAG
rnacentral:lncRNA from 1 species